GUUGUUAUGAAAGGGGUUAAGUUUUGCUUCAAUUUGGCACUAGAUCAGAGUGGUUUUUAUUUCUCAAGGAUCCUGUCCUAGUGGUUUGAGGGCAGGGCUAGAGUGAAUGCCAGCUGGGGGCUAGAAAAGGAUGGAAAAGAAGAGGAAGAGGAUUUUGUUGGGGGGCUGCACCCAAGCCUGGUCCCCACUGGACAGCUUACUCUCAGAGUACUCCUAUCACCCCCAGAAUUUAAGCCCUGUAUCUUUCUAUAACUCAAAUGCUUUCUUUGGUUUUUUAAUGCCAUAGUAAAAAUAGAAAGAAAUUUGACCACCAGCCUGCAUUCCAGUAUCAAUUAUGGUUGACUGCAGAAUGAAGAAAAACUCCUCAUAGAGACCAGUGAUACUCUCAGACAAAACUGUAAAAAACUCUUUGUGAAUUUUUUGGAGUCAAACUCCAUUCUGAAUCUUUUGUUAAAAAAAAAAACCAACCAAACAAAAACUUCUCUUAUGAAUUUACCACCUGUCAUGGAUGAUUGUUUUUUUUCUAACAGUAUUGGUCGAUUACAAAAUGCUUCUUAAGAGGAUAGUUAUAAAUAGAUUAUACUGUCAUUGUCCAUUCUGGUUUUGUCCUUUCUGGGUCAAGCGGAAGCUCACUAAUCUCUUUUGUGUAUUGGUUAAUUGUGGUGGAGAAAGAGACUCGAGGACAAAUCCGAGGUACAGAUCUGCUUUCUCUAAGUAAAAUGUGCUUUAAACACGGGUUUAGGACCCAGGAAUUGACAUCUGCUGUUACAGAGUCAUUUGCCCUAGUUGCUGGUGGCCAUGUGUGCUGGUGUGGAGUUGACAAAUUUCAACAAUUGACUGUACCACAAAAUGGGCUGAUCCGGUCCAUUCCAUCUGUUCUUUCUGGUGGAGGGAUUCAUAAGCAGGAGAAUGACCAAGAGCCUAGAGGAAGAAGAAAUAAACUCCACAUCACAUAAUGAGUACCCAAGGAACCAAGAAUCGACAUCAAUGAAGUAACCACCAUGGUGAACUGUCACAGUCAAUUAGGGCUCUGAGCCAAUAGUAAUAAAGUAUUUAAGUGAAUGUAUUAGACCUAAAGA
rnacentral:lncRNA from 1 species